GAUGAACGCUGGCGGCGUGCCUAAUACAUGCAAGUCGAGCGAACGGACGAGAAGCUUGCUUCUCUGAUGUUAGCGGCGGACGGGUGAGUAACACGUGGAUAACCUGCCUAUAAGACUGGGAUAACUUCGGGAAACCGUAGCUAAUACCGGAUAAUAUUUUGAACCGCAUGGUUCAAAAGUGAAAGACGGUCUUGCUGUCACUUAUAGAUGGAUCCGCGCUGCAUUAGCUAGUUGGUAAGGUAACGGCUUACCAAGGCAACGAUGCAUAGCCGACCUGAGAGGGUGAUCGGCCACACUGGAACUGAGACACGGUCCAGACUCCUACGGGAGGCAGCAGUAGGGAAUCUUCCGCAAUGGGCGAAAGCCUGACGGAGCAACGCCGCGUGAGUGAUGAAGGUCUUCGGAUCGUAAAACUCUGUUAUUAGGGAAGAGCAUAUGUGUAAGUAACUGUGCACAUCUUGACGGUACCUAAUCAGAAAGCCACGGCUAACUACGU
rnacentral:rRNA from 1 species